AUAUUUCCAUAUUGUAGUAUUUAACUGAAUAGGACAUUUUGUAUAAUAGAACGUGAGAUUUAAGUGAUAGAAACUUGGGUGAUAUUGUAAAGUAACAGGGACCUUUUGUGUAUUAAUAGAUCGCCGCAAUUCCCAGACCAUUUCUAUUUUUGUGAUUUACGUGCUUUAAUUUAUCUUCCUCUCGAUUGCAUAAUUUCUUAAUCUCUCUUACUUCUAUGUAGAUAUUUACAAAUUUUAUGUAUAUAGAGUCACAUUGCCACAUCUACAGAGAAGUCUAAAUGAAAAUUCAAUUCAGUCAUACCCCGCUUCUCCUCGAUUCAGCUCCUCUAACCUUCAACAGUCAGCAUGAGUGAAAAGAGUUCAACAGAGGAGCUAAGCGAGGAUGAUUUUAUAAAAUUGUAUAUCAAUAUAAAUAAUAGUUAAUGAAUUAUAGGGGCGCUUCUUUUCUUAUUUUGAUAGUUCCAUGGAACAAGAAAAAGAAUCAGCAAACUUUUGCUGUUUUAUGAAGUACAUCUGCCUCUGAGUUGACCGAUUUUGACCACUCGCUCAACCUAGAGGCGUCUACAAAAUAAUAGCACAGAACUCACCGUUCCACCUAACAUUUUGCGCGCACGUGGUUAAUAUCAAGGUUGUGCGGGAGUAUUCUGACAGCGGAAAUUGCAACAAAAUCCACAAGUGCGAUUCGAUUUGACCACUCGAAAUACACUUAUGGACAUGGAUAGGGAUACAUCUUCCAGAUUGGACAACAAGUAAAUUUCAGUAAUGUAUGCCUAUUUGCAAUAUGACUACACAAGUUCUUAUCUUAUAUACCCACUGAUACUGUAAAAGUUUUAAACAUUUUUCGUAGUAAAAGAAAUGGUUAGGUGAAAUCA